CGAGCGCAUGAGUGGUUUUGGACCUGUGACUACCGGGAGAUCCCCCGCUGUUGUGCGGCCGACUGUCGGUGCCAGUGUCCCUUCAAUCGUUGGCUAUUGUGUGCCUAUCGUUUGGACAAGUGCUUGCGUGCUGCUACCGGUAACACUGGAAGUUGCAUUGCUAAAUGUUGGUUUUGUCGUGCAUGCCCUUAGGGCAUGUCACGUCAACGAAAAAGCGUUCAUGGCGUUGCCUCGUGUCGCUGGCCGCAUUGGCUAGCGGCAUCAAGGCAACCUCAUGGUCGCUAUUGGUCUCGGAUGUGGCUAACUCGAAAGGCUGAAGGUGUUUUGACACCUCAUGCCUACAAGUCCGAUUGGAAACAACGACAGUUGGCCUGGCUGACGCCUCGUGCGGAAGCUAGUGCU
rnacentral:misc_RNA from 1 species